rnacentral:rRNA from 1 species
UACAGAGGGGGCAAGCGUUGUUCGGAAUUACUGGGCGUAAAGGGCGCGUAGGCGGCCUGCUAAGUCGAACGUGAAAUCCCCGGGCUCAACCCGGGAACUGCGUCCGAUACUGGCAGGCUUGAAUCCGGGAGAGGGAUGUGGAAUUCCAGGUGUAGCGGUGAAAUGCGUAGAUAUCGUAAGGAAGACCAGUGGCGAAGGCGGUCGUCUGGACAGUUCCUGACGCUGAGGCACGAAGGCCAGGGGAGCAAACGGG